GACAGAGGGGGCGAAGGAUGUCCGGAAUCACUGGGCGUAAAGCGCGCACGGGCGGCAACUUAAGUGUCGUGUGAAAGCCCCCGGCUCAACCGGGGGAGGCCAUGGCAAACUGGGUCGCUCGAGCUGCGGAGAGGCCCCUCGAAUUGCCGGUGUAGCGGUGAAAUGCGUAGAGAUCGGCAGGAAGACCAAGGGGGAAGCCAGGGGGCUGGCCGCAGGCUGACGCUGAGGCGCGUCAGCGUGGGUAGCAAACCGG
rnacentral:rRNA from 1 species